rnacentral:rRNA from 1 species
GGACGAACGCUGGCGGCGUGCUUAACACAUGCAAGUCGAACGGGCCUUGUCCCCUUUUUUUUGGGGGUGGGGUUAGUGGCGAACGGGUGAGUAACACGUGAGUAACCUGCCCCUCACUUCUGGAUAACCGCUUGAAAGGGUGGCUAAUACGGGGUGUUCUGGCCUGCUCGCAUGGGUGGGUUUGGAAAGAUUCGACCGGUUUUGGUUGUUUUGGUGGGGGAUGGGCUCGCGGCCUAUCAGCUUGUUGGUGGGGUGAUGGCCUGCCAAGGCUUUGACGGGUAGCCGGCCUGAGAGGGUGGGCGGUCACACUGGGACUGAGACACGGCCCAGACUCCUACGGGAGGCAGCAGUGGGGAAUAUUGCACAAUGGGCGCAAGCCUGAUGCAGCGACGCCGCGUGAGGGAUGGAGGCCUUCGGGUUGUGAACCUCUUUCGCCAGUGAAGAAGGUCCUGCUCUUUGUGGUGGGGUUGACGGUAGCUGGGUUAAUGAAGCGCCGGCUAACUACGUG